UACGUAGGUGACCAGCGUUGUCCGGAUUUACUGGGCGUAAAGAGCGCGCAGGCGGUCGUUCAAGUCGAGUGUGAAAGCCCCCGGCUCAACUGGGGAGGGUCAUUCGAUACUGAUCGACUCGAAGGCAGGAGAGGGAAGCGGAAUUCCCGGUGUAGUGGUGAAAUGCGUAGAUAUCGGAAGGAACACCAGUGGCGAAAGCGACCACCUGGACUGAUACUGACACUGAGGUGCGAAAGCGUGGGGAGCAAACAGG
rnacentral:rRNA from 1 species